CUCCGAAGUAUUUCGGGGUUUAGCUCCAAAAUAUUCUAACCCAAAAACUUGUUAUCACUUAAUGUUACGACAGAACAAAAAAAGACCAAACUCUUAAACUUUCUCUCAAACUUACCGAGUCUUCUUCUCGAUCUCGCCUCCGUCAUGUUGUCUGGUCCUUUCUCCAUGGCUCACACCCGACAAACCCAUAAUCGUCGUUGUCCAUGGCCACUUAAGUCGAAUCUCCAGGACGUCUCUGCACUGUUUCUCUAAGCAAGACGAAGCCUCCCAGUUCUCAUGGCAAAGAUGCUCACAGGUAUACACCCUAAGGUUUUUAAUUCUUCUUUACUCGACUGGCUUUCUUUUUUGGGGAUAGAGACAUAGUUAUUAGAAAGGUGCUUUAUAUUCAGUUAAAAAGGUUCGAGCUUCAGAAAAUAGUGGCUGCUUUCCUCAACCUUAAAGCUCUAUGAGCAUCUUCUCAGUCGCCUUUAACAGGUACCAUUGUUCCAAGGCAUCUAGAGAGUCAUAGACAAGUCCAAUACUUUUUCAUCAGAGUUCUCCAUACCAGUCAUAACACUCAUCCUCGACUGCACAUAUACUCUCUCAAUAAUCGGAAGGCCAUUUCUGGUUUUGUCUUUCUUCUCUUAUUGCAGAGAACUUGCACAGAAUAUCACUGAAGAAGUUGAGUUCAUUGUUGUUUCACAACACUUCUCCAACACUGAUCAUGAUGAAGAUGACAGCCAAAGCUCCAACUCACAAACAUCAGUCACAACUCAUUGACAUUUUACACGGUGAAAGGAUGAGUACUUCUGCUGAUAAAUUUUGCUUGCCAAAAAGAAUGUUCGAACCUGGUUCAAAGAAAAGAGUUUUGCAACGAGUCAAUAAGCAUUGCACCCUUAAGUAUGUUGCUAUUGUUAAAGAGGCUUUGGGCAGUGAUUUCAAGAAGAUUGAAGAUUCGUUCUUAGGCCUUAUAAUUCAGAUGGGGAUGAGGAAUAACGCUAUGGUGUUUUCAAGGAAUCUGAUCCAUGAGUUGCUUCUUAGGAGAAUUAAAGUAGGCAAGAAGAAUUUAUGGUUUUCUUUUGGAGAACAGUUGAUGCGGUUUUCUCUACGAGAAUUCCAUUUGGCAACAGGUCUACCUUGCCUUGUUGGCGAAGAAGAAAAAGAAGAAGGAUCCAUUGGAUGGUGAAGAAUCAUACUGUGAAGACCUUGGUUAAACUAUUUGUUAAAAAUAGUAAGGAAUUUACAGCUAACCAGAAGCUGAGAUUAGGGGCUACUAUCCUUGUGGAAUCGAUAUUGAUAGCCAACAAUCCAGUUAAUAAAAUACCCGUUGAGAAACUGUUGAGAGCUAGAAACUUUGAAGAGUUCUGCAAGUAUCCUUGGGGGAAUGAAACCUAUGAUGCUCUACGUGCUGCAGUGGAGAAGAUUGAAACUACAGAUUUGGUGAAGGUGCAAUAUGGAAUUUCUGGGUUUAUAUAUGCCAUUCAGCUUUGGGCUUUGUCUUCUGUGGAUCAACUUGGCUCAUUUUUUGGUGAUGAAGAUGAAGAAACUCAGUUUCCAUUGUGCUUGCAUUGGAUAUGAACAAAAUCGCCUACUUUGGAUGAGGUGACCAAAAUUGCUGAAAACAAAAAGGUUGUUGCCAAAUGCAUCCUUGGAGAUCAGGAAUUGCAUAGCAACUUGGUUGAAGAAGAUGUCGACACUGAGUUUGGAAAAGUUGUUGAUCUUGUCAAGAGAGGAUAUCGUUUGAAGAGACAAGAUUGGCGUAGUGGAAGUGUCAACAUUGCUGUUGCGGAAGCUGAGAUAGAGGAAAACAAUUAUGGUCCAGGGAGUGAUGCAACUGAUAAAGAGAAGAUUGAAUUCCUCACCAAGCAGCUAGAGAUUUAUAAUAAAAAAAAGUGGAGAAGCUUGAAGAUCGUCUGGGCAUUCGUCGAGAAACCGAGAAUGAAACUGAUGAGUUUCAUGAGACUCCUCAAGGUGCCACAAAAACCAAGGAAAAUGAUAAGCAUCAGGAAAGGGAAUUGGAGGAGGAUGAAUGUUUGCAUUCUUUCUUUGAUUCCAUAAGGCAAUAAGUUUCUAAGAAAAAGACUCAAGAUAAAGAAGAACAACUAGUGGAUAAUGAUGCAGAUGACAGUGAAAAAGAACGAGAAACUUCAAAAGACAAAGAAGGUCAAAUAGAGGAAGCAGAACGAAAUGGUGAAGUUGCUAUCAGUGGUGAAAGAAGUGAAACCUCCAAAGACAAUGAAAAGGAUGAAGAAGUAAAUGAAGAUGCAUCCAAAGAGCCCGAGCAAGUUGCUGACAGUGGUGAAGAAAGUGAAACCUCCAAAGACGAUGAAAAGGAUGAAGAAGUAAAUGAAGAUGCAUCCAAAGAGCACGAGCAAGUUAUAGAGAAGAAGCAAGGAAAAAGAAAGAAGAUACGAAAUAUUAAAAUCUGUUUACAAAGGUUUAUAAAAUUAUCUAAAGACACUAAAAAUUCUUUUUUUUUAAAUAGGAUCGGAUGGAAGAGGUUGAAGAAGUAAAUGAAGAUACAACCAACAUUUGCAAGGAAGUUAAGAAUAAGAAACCAAGAAAAAGGUAACAACUUUUAUAAGCUCUAUUUACAAUGUGGUUCAGAAUGAAUGUGUUUUGGGUUACUGCUUUUUUGUUAAAUAGAGGAACACCGAUGAGGAACCUGUCGACGAUGCUAGCACCUCCAAAUCCAAAAAACACAACCUACGGAUGUUUCUGCUGAUGAUGUUAUAGAAGGUGUAUUGGAAGAUCUCACCCUCAAGGUGUGAACAAUAAGACAGCAACAAAGUAGAUUAACUUACUAAUACACAUAACAAAUUAGAAUUUGAUAAACAUGUUGUUGUUUUUUCUUUGAAAUAGGAACAAGAAGAAGAAGAACAAG